CCUACGGGAGACAGCAGUGGGGAAUAUUGGGCAAUGGGCGCAAGCCUGACCCAGCAACGCCGCGUGAAGGAAGACGGCUUUCGGGUUGUAAACUUCUUUUCUCAGGGACGAAGCAAGUGACGGUACCUGAGGAAUAAGCCACGGCUAACUACGUGCCAGCAGCCGCGGUAAUACGUAGGUGGCAAGCGUUAUCCGGAUUUACUGGGUGUAAAGGGCGUGUAGGCGGGGCCGCAAGUCAGAUGUGAAAACCACGGGCUCAACCUGUGGACUGCAUUUGAAACUGUGUUUCGUGAGUACUGGAGAGGCAGGCGGAAUUCCUAGUGUAGCGGUGAAAUGCGUAGAUAUGACGAAGAACACCAGUGGCGAAGGCAGUCUGCUGGACAGCAACUGACGGUGAGGCGCGAAAGCGUGGGGAGCAAACAGGAUUAGAUACCCGAGUAGUC
rnacentral:rRNA from 1 species